UGGAUGUCCGAAGAACAGCGUUGGAGCACAUAUGAGCUCUAUGGAAAGUCCUCGGACGAUGCCGAAAGGGCCAUCUUAAGUGAUUUCUUUCAUCAUUGCAAUAGAAUAAUGCUGUUAGGUAUGGUUCUACCCAACUGAAUGAGGCUUACUCUUGGGCAUCC